AUUCCAGCUCCAAUAGCGUAUAUUAAAGUUGUUGCGGUUAAAAAGCUCGUAGUUGGAUUUCUGCCGAGGAUGACCGGUCCGCCCUGUGGGUGUGCAUCUGGCUCAGCCUUGGCAUCUUCCUGAAGAACGUAGCUGCACUUGACUGUGUGGUGCGGUAUUUAGGACAUUUACUUUGAGGAAAUUAGAGUGUUUCAAGCAAGCGCACGCUUUGAAUACAUUAGCAUGGAAUAAUAAGAUAGGACCUUGGUUCUAUUUUGUUGGUUUCUAGAGCUGAGGUAAUGAUUAAUAGGGAUAGUUGGGGGUAUUCAUAUUUAAUUGUCAGAGGUGAAAUUCUUGGAUUUAUGAAAGAUGAACUUAUGCGAAAGCAUUUACCAAGGAUGUUUUCAUUA
rnacentral:rRNA from 1 species